CGGGUGAGUAACGCGUGGGUAACCUGCCUUAUACAGGGGGAUAACAGUCAGAAAUGGCUGCUAAUACCGCAUAAGCGCACAGAGCUGCAUGGCUCAGUGUGAAAAACUCCGGUGGUAUAAGAUGGACCCGCGUUGGAUUAGCUAGUUGGUGGGGUAACGGCCCACCAAGGCGACGAUCCAUAGCCGGCCUGAGAGGGUGAACGGUCACAUUGGGACUGAGACACGGCCAGACUCCUACGGGAGGCAGCAUG
rnacentral:rRNA from 1 species